rnacentral:rRNA from 1 species
AUUGAACGCUGGCGGCAGGCUUAACACAUGCAAGUCGAGCGGGGGAAGGUAGCUUGCUACCGGACCUAGCGGCGAACGGGUGAGUAAAGUAUCGGAACGUGCCCAGUCGUGGGGGAUAACGUAGCGAAAGUUACGCUAAUACCGCAUACGAUCUAUGGAUGAAAGCGGGGGAUCGCAAGACCUCGCGCGAUUGGAGCGGCCGAUAGCAGAUUAGGUAGUUGGUGGGGUAAAGGCUAACCAAGCCGACGAUCUGUAGCUGGUCUGAGAGGACGACCAGCCACCCGGGGACUGAGACACGGCCCAGACUCCUACGGGAGGCAGCAGUGGGGAAUAUUGCGCAAUGGGCGAAAGCCUGACGCAGCGACGCCGCGUGGGUGAUGAAGGCCUUCGGGUCGUAAAGCCCUGUCGGGGGGGACGAAGCCUCUCGGUGCUAAUAUCGCCGAGAUCUGACGGUACCUCCUAAGGAAGCACCGGCUAACUCCGUGCCAGCAGCCGCCGUAA